CCGUCUUGAAACACGGACCAAGGAGUCUAACAUGUAUGCGAGUCUUAGAGUGAUAGAAACUCGGUGGCACAAAGAAAUUAACUUUACUAUGAGUACUACCCCUCACUUGUUUGGGGGAACAAUACAAACCAGCCUGUCACUGUUCAGGUCUGAGUGAGAGCACACAUGUCGGGACCCGAAAGAUGGUGAACUAUGCUUGAUCAGGGUGAAGUCAGAGGAAACUCUGAUGGAGGCCCGUAGCGGUUCUGACGUGCAAAUCGAUCGUAUGAAUUGAGUAUAGGGGCGAAAGACUAAUCGAACCAUCUAGUAGCUGGUUCCCUCCGAAGUUUCCCUUAGGAUAGCUGGAACUUGAACGGAGUUUUAUCUGGUAAAGCGAAUGAUUAGAAGGUUUAUAGGAUUGAAACUAAUCUUAACUUACUCUCAAACUUUAAAUGGGUAAGAGUCGUGACUUGCUUGAAAUAUUUAAUGAAGUCACAUACGGAAUGGCAUGAGUUCUUAGUGGGCCAUUUUUGGUAAGCAGAACUGGCGAUGCGGGAUGAACCGAACGUGUAGUUAAGGCGCCUAAAUCGACGCUCAUCAGAUCCCACAAAAGGUGUUAGUUGAUCGAGACAGCAGGACGGUGGCCAUGGAAGUCGGAAUCCGCUAAGGAGUGUGUAACAAC
rnacentral:rRNA from 1 species